rnacentral:rRNA from 1 species
AGGAGGCAGCAGUGGGGAAUCUUGCGCAAUGGCCGAAAGGCUGACGCAGCGACGCCGCGUGUGGGAGGAAGCUCUUCGGGGUGUAAACCACUGUUGCCCGGGACGAACACUUGGUUUCGACCAAGCUGACGGUACCGGGUGAGGAAGCACCGGCUAACUCUGUGCCAGCAGCCGCGGUAAUACAGAGGGUGCGAGCGUUGUCCGGAAUCACUGGGCGUAAAGGGCGCGUAGGUGGUGGCUUAAGCGUGCGGUGAAAGCUCGGAGCUCAACUCCGAGUCGGCCGUGCGAACUGGGCUCACUGGAGCAUAGUAGAGGCAGGUGGAAUUCCGGGUGUAGCGGUGGAAUGCGUAGAGAUCCGGAAGAACACCGGUGGCGAAGGCGGCCUGCUGGGCUAUGGCUGACACUGAGGCGCGACAGCGUGGGGAGCAAACAGGAUUAGAUACCCCGGU